GUCCACGCCGUAAACGAUGGAUGCUAGCCGUUGGGACUUACGUCUCAGUGGCGCAGCUAACGCGUUAAGCAUCCCGCCUGGGGAGUACGGUCGCAAGAUUAAAACUCAAAGGAAUUGACGGGGACCCGCACAAGCGGUGGAGCAUGUGGUUUAAUUCGAGGCAACGCGAAGAACCUUACCAGGCCUUGACAUGGGUAGUAUGGGGAGCAGAAACGUUCUCCUUCAGUUCGGCUGGCUACCACACAGGUGCUGCAUGGCUGUCGU
rnacentral:rRNA from 1 species